rnacentral:rRNA from 1 species
AGGAUGGGACUGCGUCCGAUCAGGCUGUUGGCGGGGUAAUGGCCCACCAAACCUGUAACCGGUACGGGCCUUGAGAGAGGUGGCCCGGAGAUGGACACUGAGAGAAGGGUCCAGGUCCUACGGGGCGCAGCAGGCGCGAAACCUUCGCAAUGCGCGAAAGCGUGACGAGGUUAAUCCGAGUGACUCCCGCUGAGGGGGUCUUUUGUCAGCUGUAAAUAGGCAGGCGAAUAAGGGGAGGGCAAGCCUGGUGUCAGCCGCCGCGGUAAUACCAGCUCCUCGAGUGGUCGGGGCGAUUAUUGGGCCUAAAGCAUCCGUAGCCGGUUCCGUAGGUCCUCUGUUAAAUCCAACCGCUCAACGGUUGACCUGCAGAGGAUACCGCGGGACUAGGAGGCGGGAGAGGCGGACGGUACUCCGCGUGUAGGGGUAAAAUCCUUUGAUCCGCGGAAGACCACCAGUGGCGAAGGCGGUCCGCCAGAACGCGCUCGACGGUGAGGGAUGAAAGCUGGGGGAGCGAACCGGAUUAGAUACCCGGGUAGUCCCAGCCGUAAACGAUGCUAGCUAGAUGAUUCAUUCGCAAGUCGCGAAUGAAGUGUCGCAGGGAAGCCGUUAAGCUAGCCGCCUGGGGAGUACGGUCGCAAGACUGA